UACAGAGGUCUCAAGCGUUAUCCGGAAUCAUUGGGCGUAAAGGGUGUGUAGGUGGUUGUGUUAGUCUGCAGUCAAAUCUCCCAGCUUAACUGGGAAUCCGCUGUGGAAACGGCACGACUUGAGGGUGCGAGGGGUCUGUGGAACUCAUGGAGUAGGGGUGAAAUCCGUUGAUAUCAUGGGGAACACCGAAAGCGAAGGCAGCAGACUGGCGCAUUCCUGACACUGAGACACGAAAGCGUGGGUAGCGAAUGGG
rnacentral:rRNA from 1 species